rnacentral:misc_RNA from 1 species
GUAUCAAUGUCUAAUGUCAUACUAAAGUGAAAUUUUUACGAAAACGAUCGAUAAAUAUAAGGUUUGUUCCUUUAUUGCUGCACUGGGAUUGCAUUAUAACAGGAUAAUACAAGACAGAUAGAUAGUCUGAUCUGUACUAUCUUGUUUAGUACAGUUCCAGUGCAGCUAUAAAGAACAAAUGAUUUCCUGCAAGAGCGAAAUUAGUUAUUUGAUACCACCAGAGAGAGCGGUACUGUCAAAGUAUUUAUGUCAAAAUAUUGUACAUUUCUUGCAAAUUAUUUUAAUGAAAUUAUUGCACAUAGACAUAAUUCAUUAGACUUUAUUGACAGCAAGGUACUCUUGAUCUAGUUAUUAAUAAGAUUCUCUCUUACAUUUUUCUUUUUGUGAUAAAUAUAUUUUGUUCCGAUUGAACAUUGAAGAUCUCAUGACGCCUAAAAGAAAAUGCUUAUUUAACGAUAAAUUACAAGAAGAGUUCCUUUUUAUGAAGAAGAUAACUAUA